AGCCUUAUGAAUAGAUAUUAGGUUAGACCUGCCCAAUGUGUAUUAUCAUCAAUGGCCGCGGUACUUUGACCGUGCUAAGGUAGCGCAAUCAAUUGGUUUUUAAUUGGAGCCAUGUAUGAAUGGAGUAACGGGGUUUAGCUGUCUCUAAAUUAAUUUAUUGAAAUUACUAUAUAGGUGAGAAAGCCUAUAAAAAGAAAAAGGACGAGAAGACCCUUAGAGUUUCCCUUAAACCAAAAUAUUAUUUUUGGAGCAGUUUAGUUGGGGCAACAUAGGAGCAGUAUUUUAUUUAAUCUCCUGAAAUAAAUAAGCCGAUAAUUAUAAAUUUGUAUAAACUACCUUAGGGAUAACAGCAUAAUUUUAUUAAUAAGUUUGUGACCUCGAUGUUGGACUAGGAAACUAAAAGGCUAGCCGCCUUUCAGGUAAGUUCUGUUCGAACUAUUAUUCCU
rnacentral:rRNA from 1 species